AGCCUAUUUAUUGCUUCCAGUGCAUCGCUUCGGCGUUUAACUUCCAUCUCCUCUCAAGAAGCCACCGUUUUCCCUCGUCGCCGCACCUCGUCCUCCUCCUCCUUAGCGAACUCGAGGACCGAUCUCCGAUGCCUCACGUGUCAGAUCGUCGAGCCCUGACGACGGUGGUGGCCAUGGAGGUCGCAAGAAACGGUAUGGUUGGCUGAACACCUCCCGACGCUCGUUGAAACCCCGUCGAAAUCCUACUCGAAUCCCUAGCCUCCGAUGGCUCCCGUUGCUGAUCGUAGAUAUCUAUAUCUCGCUGCGCGGUUGCUCGAUCAGGUCUUCCACGAAGUGGUGGUGAUCGUGAAACGGUACGAGAUUCGUCGCCUUCUAAAGGCCUGGUUGAAACCCUCGUGGCCCGAACCGCAGAUGGGCCCAAGUUUUUGGAUCAUCGAGCCGUAGGGGUGGUGGCUACUUGAUCAGGUGCAUUGUCUCUCCCAAUCUAGAUGUGGAUCUGUUGUGUUUUCUUGGGUGCUUUAUGGUUCUGCGAUGUUAUUGGGGCUGUUCUUUAAGUAUUGCGUUCGACGCAUUCUAAAGGCCCCCAACCUCAGAUGACCCACGUUUUGGAUCAUCGUGCUGUAGGGAUAGCGGCUACUUGAUCAGUUCUUGUGUUUUCGCCGCCUUCUAAAGGCCCCCAACCGCAGAUGGCCCACG